UCUUCGGAGAGUUUGAUCCUGGCUCAGGAUGAACGCUGGCGGCGUGCCUAAUACAUGCAAGUCGAGCGAACUGAUUAGAAGCUUGCUUCUAUGACGUUAGCGGCGGA
rnacentral:rRNA from 7 species